rnacentral:rRNA from 1 species
AGCGGAGGAAAAGAAACCAACAGGGAUUGCCUUAGUAACGGCGAGUGAAGCGGCAACAGCUCAAAUUUGAAAUCUGGCCCUCGGGUCCGAAUUGUAAUUUGUAGAGGAUGAUUUUGGUGCGGUAUCUUCCGAGUUCCUUGGAACAGGACGCCUUAGAGGGUGAGAGCCCCGUACGGUUGAAUGCCUAGCCUCUGUAAAUCUCCUUCGACGAGUCGAGUAGUUUGGGAAUGCUGCUCUAAAUGGGAGGUAAAUUUCUUCUAAAGCUAAAUAUUGGCCAGAGACCGAUAGCGCACAAGUAGAGUGAUCGAAAGAUGAAAAGCACUUUGAAAAGAGGGUUAAAUAGCACGUGAAAUUGUUGAAAGGGAAGGAUUUGUGACCAGACUUUUUCUGGGCGGAUCAUCCGGGGUUCUCUCCGGUGCACUUUGCCCAGUAAAGGCCAGCAUCGAUUUUCGGCGGCGGAUAAAAGCAGUGGGAAUGUGGCUCCCUACGGGGAGUGUUAUAGCCCAUUGUAUAAUACGCUGCUGGGGAUCGAGGUACGCGCUUCUGCAAGGAUGCUGGCGUAAUGGUUAUCAAUCACCCGUCUUGAAACACGGACCAAGGAGUCGAACAUUUAUGCGAGUGUUUGGGUGUUAAACCCUCACGCGUAAUGAAAGUGAACGGAGGUGAGAGCCCGUACGGGUGCAUCAUCGACCGAUCCUGAAGUUUUCGGAUGGAUUUGAGUAAGAGCAUAACUGUUCGGACCCGAAAGAUGGUGAACUAUGCGUGGAUAGGGUGAAGCCAGAGGAAACUCUGGUGGAGGCUCGCAGCGGUUCUGACGUGCAAAUCGAUCGUCAAAUCUGCGCAUGGGGGCGAAAGACUAAUCGAACCAUCUAGUAGCUGGUUACCGCCGA